rnacentral:misc_RNA from 1 species
GAUGAAGAACGUAGCGAAAUGCGAUAAGUAAUGUGAAUUGCAGAAUUCAGUGAAUCAUCGAAUCUUUGAACGCACAUUGCGCCCCUGGUAUUCCGGGGGGCAUGCCUGUUCGAGCGUCAUUUCACCACUCAAGCCUCGCUUGGUAUUGGGCAACGCGGUCCGCCGCGUGCCUCAAAUCGACCGGCUGGGUCUUCUGUCCCCUAAGCGUUGUGGAAACUAUUCGCUAAAGGGUGUUCGGGAGGCUACGCCGUAAAACAACCCCAUUUCUAAGGUUGACCUCGGAUCAGGUAGGGAUACCCGCUGAACUUAAGCAUAUCAAUAAGCGGAGGA